ensembl:lncRNA
CCUGCUCCUCCUGCAUCCCUACAAGAGGCCGGUCUAACGCAAGAUCCACUGGGAGCCACUCAGACGACAGAUCCAUCCCCGGACCCUCCCACUCCCAGAGAGGAAUCCACAGAGCUGCCUUUACUUGAUCACCUGCGCUGAGUCUGCACUAUUGACAGUUUCUACAGUGAAAGCACACCGCAGUUGAAUGUGGACCGGUCCAGUCCGGACUCAUUCCAGCCUUUGGGACUCAUUCCAUGAACUGUUGUUGAACUAACUCAGCGCAGCCACAGUUUGGAAGUCCUCUGAUGGCACUUUGAAUCAAGCGUGGAUCUGGGAAUAUACACAUCACUCUUCUUGUUAGUCAAGAGAGAGCUAAACAUAGCAUGCUGAGCUGAUGCACGUCAGACCAUGAAAUCAUUUUAGCCAACCUGUUUAUUCCAAAGUCAGCUUUCAUCACAACUCGUAAGACCUGAUGAUGUACUCAUUUUUAAUUUUACAUUUUUUUCUUUUCCUGACUGAGCACUCGCUGUCUCUACAGCCAACCAUUUGGUUGUAAAAGUAAUGACAGGCCAGACAGGCCAGUGCAACUUAUAAGGGAUAUUUUGCUUGAGGAUUGUUUAUUUUUCUAUACUGGAGACUAGAGGACAAUCUCUAACUUGACGUCUGCAGCAGCAUUAGGUUUUUUUUCUUUUUGUUUGGGGGGCCUCAUAAUAAAUCCAGAAAAAGAAAAAGGACCAGUACAUUGCUGUACGUGCAACUAAAGGACGCGUGGAGACCACAAUAAGCCUUGUUUUUGUUUUCCCCCCACAUGUAACCAUCCUCGCCGGACAGUUGUGCAUCAAACAAUAUUUCACAUGACAUAUUGGCUAAUUUCAGGAGCCUCCACUUCUUUUCCCCUGCACAAAUACACAUAUUAUAUGAGGAAGAAGAAGAAAAUAAAACAAGAAAACAUUAUUCUUGUACUCUGGCCCAUUUUCCUGCAGAGGUGCCUGACUAUAUCAACAGUUCUGUCUUGGAGCAAGUUUCAGGGAACACCCCCACCCCCCCCAAACAAAAAACAAACUCCCUUCCAGCCCAGCUGACAUGUGGUGCUUUUACUGCUAGUUUACAGCGUAUGUAGGCUUGGACAUCGUGGAGUCCUGUAUCUGACUAGCAACCUGGAGAACUUCAGACAGAGCUGGUUUCCAUUAAUCAGGAUCAAACAGAGGACGAGUCAAAUCUGUGAAAAAUUGUGUUGAUCACAAAUUCACAAGCUGGGAGUGUAAGGAACUUUUUUUUUUAAUCCUCUUUUUUUUUUUUUGCUUUGGUGAGUGGAAUGUCUUCUAUUUUUUGUUUUUUACUUGAAUCUUCACGAAUCCCUCGGUGUCAAAUGUGCACUGAGUUUGUUUUCUUUGGAUUACUGAUCACUAAUGUCCUCCCUGAUCAGAUCCAAUCAGCUCAUGGCUUUCUGAAUAGCCGGGGUCCAGGCUGCUUUGUGAGGAGAGCUGUGUUUGCUAGGGAUGCACUGAUGUCUAAAAUAACAGUUUGUCUGAUACCCAUAUAUAUUUUUAGCUGCUUGUUUUUCUUUUGUUUUUUAAGUUACUUAUCCUCCUUUUGCACCAGGGAAACAAAAGACGUCUUCAUUAUGAAACUAUUUUAAGUCCUCCUCCUCCAUCAUGCUGUUGAUGUGACACUACCGACAACCAUUAGCCACUGGUUAACUGACCAUGUGAUUGGCUGAUACAUCAGUGUAUCCCCAGUGUGCUCUUUGCCUGCAGUCUGGGCCUUUCUGUUACUAUACUACUGCUUCUGCAUCUCCUGCUACUACUACUAUAAUACCCACUACUACUGCUGUUUCUACAACAGUUAAAUCCAGCGUUUUAGUUGGAAAUAAACAAAAGCUGAAUAAAUACUGAAAGCAAAGGUGGAAUAUUUAUUUGAUAAUGUCUUACAGAUGUCUUUAACGGGGUUUGUCUAUAUGGUGUGUUGAUAUAUUGAGUUGGAAAUCUGCCUUCUGUCUACCCUCCCGCCCCCUCCCCUCAGUUUGUUUGGUGUCGUCACGUUUGCACCAUCUCACCAACGGCUCUUUUUGGUUAUUUUUAAGUGUGGAACAUAACUGGAAGUGUUCCUGAAAUCGCUUUAAGUUUGUUUCUUUUCCCACGCCUUUAUUUUUAUUAUUUUUUUACCACUGUGAAAAGCAGAAAACGGGAGAGUUUCAUAAAACAAAAAAUAAAAGAAAAACUUGCAGUUCUGUCAAAAAAUUUUAGCCCCAGAAGUUUCCCCGGGUCCACUGGCUUUGUCCCCGACGGUUUCCGGCUCUUCGCACUGGGUGAAGAAUUCUUAAACGACCUCGUGCCAUAGCAUGAAUCGCCAUAUGCUGCUUUUUCCUCAUAAAUGAUUUGUUUGGGUUUUGGGGGGUU